rnacentral:lncRNA from 1 species
CAUCCAACCAACACCCCUAGACCUGAACCUAAAUAAAACAUUCUAUCUUAGAAAGCUAAAAGUCCAGUAUACCUAAGAAAACCACCUAGGGUCAAGAAAGAACAUAUAGUAUGCACAAUAACUACAGGAUAUCUGAUUAUAAGAAUGCAAAAUGAGAAGCCAUUAAUAGCAUCCCUCAACUCUCUCCUCCACAAUGAUUACCAGAAGAACAGCAGCAGCUGAAUCACAACUAAAUCUUAUUCACAAGAGACCUGGGGCAUCAAGAGAAAAUAAAAUGUUAAAAUAGUACUUCUCGGGGAAAACUGCUUUAAGUCAUUUUGAUUCUGGUGUCAAUCAUGCCUGCCACAAACCAAUAAGCAUGUAUAACCCAAGCAAAGACUAGAUUACAUUUCUUCUCUCCCUCCCGGGGCUUAGUGUAGAGCACCUACCAUACUUAAUUGCCCUGCCAACUAAAUUGCUACUUGUAAGGCCUCCAGGGGAAUGCAGCUCAUCCAGAGACAUACACAGGCUUAAAUGUUUACCCUGAGAGCACAAGCAACAUCAGUCUGAAGAAGAACUGCUGGUAUCAGGGACACCUACCACCACUCUCACUAAAGCAGAUGAACCACAUAACUUUAUGCAAAUGUUUUACCCUCUCAGUGCCUCAGUUUCUUCAUUUGUUAGAAUAUCUGUCUCCUGGGGUUAUUAUAAGAAAUUAAUUUGCAUAAAACUGUAGGAAAAGAGCCUACUAUUGAGUAAGUACUCUCUGGCACACACAUACCCAUAUACAUGGAGAAAAAGGGAAGGAGAAAAGAAGUGGGUGAAAAGGUUAAGGAAGAGGAAAGAGAGGGGAAAGGAAGGAUCUAUGAAUGAUGCUAACACCCAUGAACUAAACUAACC